rnacentral:lncRNA from 1 species
GUGCUGCAAUAUGUUUCUAUCUCAGUGGAAAUGCUGGUCAAGAAUUCCUCAGACCACAUACUGGUAUGGGUCUGCUUUUCCUUGGUCUGGUGUUGCGAAUGGGCUAAGCCAUGCUAUAGAGAACGGAUGGCCAAAUACUGCUUUCAUGUUCAUCCAUUUUGUUUUUUUAGCCCAUCUUCUCUCUUCCUUUUUCAAUUGCUCUAUUCCCGUUUCAUCAGUGCAGAUGGAGUGUACUUGGGUCCCAAACAUAACCGAGGUGAAGAUGAGAAAGAGAAGAGCCUCAAAACACAAGAGGAUGAGAAGGAUCACUGUGGUUGGUGGAGAGAAGGAGCUGCAUUUUGUCCAGUCUUCUUCAAAGCAAUACAAGAAGUGAAAUCCCACCAUAAUUAGAGCAUGCAGGGAAAUCAGUGCUAUAUACAUUGUAAACAGUACGAAGUACUUCUGGUUAUUCUCUCCUACGCAGUUAUUGACCCAUGGGCAGUGAUGGUCCAUUUUCCGGAUACACCUCUUGCAAACGCUGCAGUGAUGUGCUCUGUCAGGUUUGAUGCUACAACAUUUUGGGCACUUG